rnacentral:rRNA from 1 species
UACGAAGGGGGCUAGCGUUGCUCGGAAUCACUGGGCGUAAAGGGUGCGUAGGCGGGUCUUUAAGUCAGGGGUGAAAUCCUGGAGCUCAACUCCAGAACUGCCUUUGAUACUGAAGAUCUCGAGUUCGGGAGAGGUGAGUGGAACUGCGAGUGUAGAGGUGAAAUUCGUAGAUAUUCGCAAGAACACCAGUGGCGAAGGCGGCUCCCUGGCCCGAUACUGACGCUGAGGCACGAAAGCGUGGGGAGCAAACAGG